UGAGGAAUCUUCCGCAAUGGGCGAAAGCCUGACGGAGCGACACCGCGUGAAGGAUGAAGUCUUUUUUAGAUGUAAACUUCUGUUCUGAGGGACGAAAUUUUUGACGGUACCUCAGGAGAAAGCAUCGGCUAACCCUGUGCCAGCAGCCGCGGUAAUACAGAGGGUGCAAGCGUUAAUCGGACUUACUGGGCGUAAAGGGUGCGUAGGCGGAAGGAUAAGUUAGUUGUGAAAGGCCUGGGCUUAACCUAGGAACUGCAAUUAAGACUGUCCAUCUAGAGUUGAGUAGAGGGGAGCGGAAUUUCCGGUGUAGCGGUGAAAUGCGUAGAUAUCGGAAGGAACAUCAGUUGCGAAGGCGGCUCUCUGGACUCAAACUGACGCUGAGGCGCGAAAGCCAGGGGAGCAAACGGGAUUAGAUACCCAAGUAGUCCCUGAGCGGGCUGGCAAGGCGCAU
rnacentral:rRNA from 1 species